CCGGCACGGGUGAGUAACACGUAUGCAAUCCACCUGUAACAGGGGAUAACCGAGAAAUCCGGACUAAUACCCAUAAUAUGGGCGCUCCGCAUGGAGAGCCCAUUAAAGAGAGCAAUUUUGGUUACAGACGAGCAUGCGCUCCAUUAGCCAGUUGGCGGGGUAACGGCCCACCAAAGCGACGAUGGAUAGGGGUUCUGAGAGGAAGGUCCCCCACAUUGGAACUGAGACACGGUCCAA
rnacentral:rRNA from 1 species